CACUUAGACCAUCUCCAUCGGA
rnacentral:siRNA from 1 species